UGAAAAGGAAACUAAAAGGGAAAGUCAGAACUUAUAAAAGGCAACACACAGGAGACCAGCAAGCCAGACUGGCAGUCAAUAUGGGCUUCUACAGGGUGUUCUUCAGAGAGAUCUGUAUAAUAAUCGUAGGGGGAGUCGCGGCUCUCUUAUACAGACUCUUUAAACCGGGAUCGGCUAGACGCCACCAGCAAUAGGCCUCUCCCCAUCCCAACAACGGGCUCAGAAUGCCACCCCCAGCACCACCGAAUGUCCUAAGACAGCCCGAGAUUCAAAGGGCUCACCUCCAUACACUGCCCUUCUACGCCUUCCAUAUGCAAAGAUGCUGACCACCAUGCGAGUCCCAGGGCACACACCCUGGGCCUGACACGGGUCAAGUACCAGGAUGCAGCUUAGCAGGAGGGCGCCCACCCAACACGGUCAAGGUCCCAGCAUGAACCAAGAUCCACAACACCUCCAUGGUUCCAUGCAGCCUGACAAAUGCUGCUGGCCCCUACUCAAAAGAAGAUGGGCAACCAGGGUAGAUUGAAGAACGAGGUCUCUCCAGAACACAUGACAUCUGUGUGGUGUUGGCGCUUCCCAGUGGGCCUUCCAGCACAUGUCCCCGUCCAUGCACUGCCCCAUGGGGCAGCACCGUAGAAAAGGAACCCCCAACCUUCACUCAUCCCAUC